GACGAACGUUGGCGGCGUGCUUAACACAUGCAAGUCGAACGGAAAGGCCCUGCUUUUGUGGGGUGCUCGAGUGGCGAACGGGUGAGUAACACGUGAGUAACCUGCCCUUGACUUUGGGAUAACUUCAGGAAACUGGGGCUAAUACCGGAUAGGAGCUCCUGCUGCAUGGUGGGGGUUGGAAAGUUUCGGCGGUUGGGGAUGGACUCGCGGCUUAUCAGCUUGUUGGUGGGGUAGUGGCUUACCAAGGCUUUGACGGGUAGCCGGCCUGAGAGGGUGACCGGCCACAUUGGGACUGAGAUACGGCCCAGACUCCUACGGGAGGCAGCAGUGGGGAAUAUUGCACAAUGGGCGGAAGCCUGAUGCAGCAACGCCGCGUGCGGGAUGACGGCCUUCGGGUUGUAAACCGCUUUCGCCUGUGACGAAGCGUGAGUGACGGUAAUGGGUAAAGAAGCACCGGCUAACUACGUGCCAGCAGCCGCGGUGAUACGUAGGGUGCGAGCGUUGUCCGGAUUUAUUGGGCGUAAAGGGCUCGUAGGUGGUUGAUCGCGUCGGAAGUGUAAUCUUGGGGCUUAACCCUGAGCGUGCUUUCGAUACGGGUUGACUUGAGGAAGGUAGGGGAGAAUGGAAUUCCUGGUGGAGCGGUGGAAUGCGCAGAUAUCAGGAGGAACACCAGUGGCGAAGGCGGUUCUCUGGGCCUUUCCUGACGCUGAGGAGCGAAAGCGUGGGGAGCGAACAGGCUUAGAUACCCUGGUAGUCCACGCUGUAAACGGUGGGUACUAGGUGUGGGGUCCAUUCCACGGGUUCCGUGCCGUAGCUAACGCUUUAAGUACCCCGCCUGGGGAGUACGGCCGCAAGGCUAAAACUCAAAGGAAUUGACGGGGCCCCGCACAAGCGGCGGAGCAUGCGGAUUAAUUCGAUGCAACGCGUAGAACCUUACCUGGGUUUGACAUGGAUCGGGAGUGCUCAGAGAUGGGUGUGCCUCUUUUGGGGUCGGUUCACAGGUGGUGCAUGGCUGUCGUCAGCUCGUGUCGUGAGAUGUUGGGUUAAGUCUCGCAACGAGCGCAACCCUUGUUCACUGUUGCCAGCACGUUAUGGUGGGGACUCAGUGGAGACCGCCGGGGUCAACUCGGAGGAAGGUGGGGAUGACGUCAAGUCAUCAUGCCCCUUAUGUCCAGGGCUUCACGCAUGCUACAAUGGCUGGUACAGAGAGUGGCGAGCCUGUGAGGGUGAGCGAAUCUCGGAAAGCCGGUCUCGGUUCGGAUUGGGGUCUGCAACUCGACCUCAUGAAGUCGGAGUCGCUAGUAAUCGCAGAUCAGCAACGCUGCGGUGAAUACGUUCCCGGGGCU
rnacentral:rRNA from 1 species